GUCUACGGCCAUGCUGCCCUCAACAAGCCCGAUCCCAUCUGAUCUCGGAAGCUAAGCAGGCUUGGGCCUGCUUAGUACUUGAGUGGGAGACCACCUAUGAAGAUCAGAUGCCCUACGCA
ensembl:rRNA 5S_rRNA 5S ribosomal RNA